rfam:Pichia guilliermondii ATCC 6260 scaffold_9 genomic scaffold, whole genome shotgun sequence.
GACCACAUGAUCUAAUGGUAUGAUACUACUACUUCACAGUAUAUAUGCGGGUUCAAUUCCCGCUGUGGUUA